CUAUCACAAGAGGGCGAAUGCGUCUUUUAAUUCGGCGGAAACUCACCUGAUUUUCUAACUGCCAUGGCUGUGCCGUCAACGGCUGGACGGGCGAAGCGGGCCGAAUUUCAGGUUCAGGAGAAGGCGAAUGGCCCAGAUCAAUGGACUUAACGUCGUCGGCGUCGGGGACGGUGCUGAAAAAGGCAGCUGGCCGGUUCCGGCGAGGAGUACUACGAGCAGAACCGGGAGAAUCCAUGCAGACUGAAGCUGAGACGCCGACUGUCGCCGCCGGCUCUUCCAUACUUCAUACUUAUCCGCAUUCGGGGCCUCCUCUCAGGUCUUUCAUGACGUCACUGCUGUCCGUUGGGGGAAGAAAUUGGUGCAAUCGAUGGGUCGGAUUUUUACGGCAAUGGUAGUAGCGGACGGAAUAUAUUUUAAGUAGUAAUUGAUGUAAGGUAAAUGCCCUAAAAAAAAUCUAUACCUCGAAUUUGCCGGAUAAUUUUGCUAGACUAUAUUGUCUAUACCAGUGUUUCUCAACCGCUGGUCCGGCGGACCGGCACCGGUCCGCGGAGAAAUUUGACCGGAC
rnacentral:lncRNA from 1 species